GGCAAUUAAGUUCUUAAUACAGGUACCACUGUAUUUUUGUUGCUUGCCAACAAAACUACAGUGGUACCUGUAUUAAGAACUUAAUUUGUU